GGCCUCAUGGUGCAACGGUAGCGCAUCUGACUCCAGAUCAGACAGUUGUGUGUUCAAAUCACAUUGGGGUCU